AACCUCCAUGAGGGGGGUGUGUGUUCGUGUCUCUUCCUAGGACUCCACAGGAAUCACGUUCGUGUGUUUAAGCUGCAAUCAACACAGUUGUCAGGACGAUCGUCGCAGCCAUCAGGUGCUUGUGUUGUUUAUGAAGUGCUGGGCCAGUUGCUGGGCACCGGACAACAGAACGUUCUGUGACACCGGAAAGGUCCUGUACCUGCCCUGUCCAGCAAGGGAGCCACCAGCCUCCUGUGAGCCUCUACCGUGGGGACUGGAUCUCCCACCUCCGGGAAGCGCCGGGCCUGCCAUCGAGGGAUCCGUCUUCCGUGCACUCACCUGCGGGGAGGUGUGGGCAGAUGAGCAGCCUCCCAAGCCCCGAGCCCAGCCCCCAAGUCCCAAGCCCCGGGGGGCUGCAUUUUGAACAAUUCCCCCAAGGUGACCCUGAAGCCGUGGUCCGUGGGCCACGUUCUGAGAACACUGCCCUAGUCCUCCCACCAGGGAGUGGCCGGGCUGGAGGGGACCCCUGCCUCAGCUUGUCCAGGCCCCGGUGGUAUAGACUUGUAGACAGAGGCCCAGAGACCGAGCGGGGCGACCCAUGGCAGCUGGCCACACGGUGCAGGCUGAAGUCGAGGAAAGAGCUCCAGACUCUCCUCUGCAUCCCCCAGCCAGGACCGGGUGCCGAGACAGAAGGCGACCCCGGGGGAGUCGUGCGGACACUCCACUGCCCCUAAACGUCCAGGAGGUGACCCUUCCUGGCCCAGGUGACCCUGACCGGGGCCCAGAGGCCCUGCUCUGACAGCAGAUGCUACCUGGGAGACAGGGCCAGCGCGGACACAGGACUGUGGGACAGUGUGCCUCUCAGUAUGGUUCCUCUGCUCGCCCCUAAAAUGGCCCCUGGUGGCUGAAGGAAUAAACGCGGAGAAGUACCUGGCA